AACGAACGCUGGCGGCAGGCUUAACACAUGCAAGUCGAGCGCCCCGCAAGGGGAGCGGCAGACGGGUGAGUAACGCGUGGGAAUCUACCCAUCUCUACGGAAUAACGCAUGGAAACGUGUGCUAAUACCGUAUACGUCCCUCGGGAGAAAGAUUUAUCGGAGGUGGAUGAGCCCGCGUUGGAUUAGCUAGUUGGUGGGGUAAAGGCCUACCAAGGCGACGAUCCAUAGCUGGUCUGAGAGGAUGAUCAGCCACACUGGGACUGAGACACGGCCCAGACGCCUACGGGAGGCAGCAGUGGGGAAUAUUGGACAAUGGGCGCAAGCCUGAUCCAGCCAUGCCGCGUGAGUGAUGAAGGCCCUAGGGUUGUAAAGCUCUUUCACCGGUGAAGAUAAUGACGGUAACCGGAGAAGAAGCCCCGGCUAACUUCGUGCCAGCCGCCGCAGUAAAAC
rnacentral:rRNA from 1 species